CACGCCGUAAACGAUGAGUACUAGGUGUAGGGGGUAUCGACCCCCCCUGUGCCGCAGUAAACACAAUAAGUACUCCGCCUGGGAAGUACGAUCGCAAGAUUAAAACUCAAAGGAAUUGACGGGGACCCGCACAAGCAGCGGAGCAUGUGGUUUAAUUCGAUGCAACGCGAAGAACCUUACCAGGGCUUGACAUCCCCCGGACGGAACUAGAGAUAGUUCAUUCCCUUCGGGGACUGGGGAGACAGGUGG
rnacentral:rRNA from 1 species